rnacentral:rRNA from 1 species
AACGAACGCUGGCGGCAUGCCUAACACAUGCCAGUCGAACGAGACCUUCGGGUCUAGUGGCGCACGGGUGCGUAACGCGUGGGAACCUGCCCUUAGGUUCGGAAUAACUCCCCGAAAGGGGUGCUAAUACCGGAUAAUGUCUUCGGACCAAAGAUUUAUCGCCUUUGGAUGGGCCCGCGUUGGAUUGGCUAGUUGGUAGGGUAAAAGCCUACCAAGGCGACGAUCCAUAGCUGGUCUGAGAGGAUGAUCAGCCACACUGGGACUGAGACACGGCCCAGACUCCUACGGGAGGCAGCAGUGGGGAAUAUUGGACAAUGGGCGAAAGCCUGAUCCAGCAAUGCCGCGUGAGUGAUGAAGGCCUUAGGGUUGUAAAGCUCUUUUACCCGGGAUGAUAAUGACAGUACCGGGAGAAUAAGCGCCGGCUAACUCCGUG